rnacentral:rRNA from 1 species
AUUGAACGCUGGCGGCAUGCCUUACACAUGCAAGUCGAACGGCAGCACGGGUGCUUGCACCUGGUGGCGAGUGGCGAACGGGUGAGUAAUACAUCGGAACAUGUCCUGUAGUGGGGGAUAGCCCGGCGAAAGCCGGAUUAAUACCGCAUACGAUCUACGGAUGAAAGCGGGGGACCUUCGGGCCUCGCGCUAUAGGGUUGGCCGAUGGCGGAUUAGCUAGUUGGUGGGGUAAAGGCCUACCAAGGCGACGAUCAGUAGCUGGGCUGAGAGGACGACCAGCCACACUGGGACUGAGACACGGCCCAGACUCCUACGGGAGGCAGCAGUGGGGAAUUUUGGACAAUGGGCGAAAGCCUGAUCCAGCAAUGCCGCGUGUGUGAAGAAGGCCUUCGGGUUGUAAAGCACUUUUGUCCGGAAAGAAAUCCUUGGCCCUAAUACGGUCGGGGGAUGACGGUACCGGAAGAAUAAGCACCGGCUAACUACGUG